ACACAUCCCUGCUGUGAAGUCUCCACCUUUAGUUCUACUGGAACAGGCUUAAAAACUUCAUGAAAGAGGUCUGACAUGAAGCUGAUCACAGCCAUACUGAGAGCCCUGACUUCAGUUCAGGAGAAGAGCAAAGAGGAAGGACAUGACGUGCCGUGGUUUCACUUUACUUUGGUGAAGGGGACCUCGUCUAUCGUCGCAGAUGAUAAAACAGAGUAUUUCCACGUGCCAGCUGAAGGUCGCUGCAUAGCAGUCAUGCCAGAGAGGAAACACGAGUUCCUCUGGAUGUCUACAUCGAGAAAUUUCCUGCUUCCUUGUGAUGUCGGCCUCCAUUGAAGAGGCUCCCGCGUGAAGUUUGAGGUUUCAAAACGUUUCUUACAGCUAUCUUCAAAAUAUGUCAGAGAAGACGUCUCAGUGCUGAACUAGUUUCAGACAUCUGGAAGAAUCCUCCGAGUAUCCGCUUCCCUGAGGUCAGUCUCCGUAGGACACAGAGGGGAGGGAACAAACAGAACACCAGGACAACAAUGAAAAACAACUAUUUAGGCAACCUGCGAAGUUACGUGCCACCAAGGAAAAGAUGCUAAUUGCCUCUACUCAGAGGACGAUCCACGCUUCGUUUUAUUUCUCGCCUCCACAAACCCCUGCGC